rnacentral:rRNA from 1 species
CACUGUCACUCCUACGGGGAGGCAGCAGUGGGGGAAUAUUGCACAAUGGGCGCAAGCCUGAUGCAGCCAUGCCGCGUGUGUGAAGAAGGCCUUCGGGUUGUAAAGCACUUUCAGUCGUGAGGAAGGUGGUAGUGUUAAUAGCACUAUCAUUUGACGUUAGCGACAGAAGAAAGCACCGGCUAACUCCGUGCCAGCAGCCGCGGUAAUACGGAGGGUGCGAGCGUUAAUCGGAAUUACUGGGCGUAAAGCGCAUGCAGGUGGUUUGUUAAGUCAGAUGUGAAAGACCCGGGGCUCAACCUCGGAAUAGCAUUUGUAAACUAGGCAGACUAGAGUACUGUAGAGGGGGGUAGGAAUUUCUAGGUGUAGCGGUGAAAUGCGUAGAGAUCUGAAGGAAUACCGGUGGCGAAGGCGGCCCCCUCGGACAGAUACUGACACUCAGAUGCGAAAGCGUGGGGAGCAAACAGGAUUAGAUACCCUGGUAG